rnacentral:lncRNA from 1 species
AGCCAUGCUCAUUUGUUUGAUCCCUGGCCUGGGAACUUCCAUAUGCUAUGGAUGUAGCCAAAACAAAACCAAAAACAGAUAAAAGUUUUCAAAUCCCUAUUCUGCACUACUUUCUGACUCUGUCAUGCUUAUGAAUUAUUCCUCGCAAAUUGCUUGAAAACUACUUGAAGUCAGGACUGUUGUCAUAUACUUUUUUUUUUUCUUUUUUAGGGCUGCACCCGUGGCAUAUGGAGGUUCCUAGGCUAGGGGUCAAAUUGGAGCAGUAUCUGCUGGCCUACACCACAGAUACACCAACACAGGAUCCAAGCGGAGUCUGCAACCUACACUUAUAGCUCACUGAAAUGCUGGACUCUUAACCCACUGAACAAGGCCAGGAACUGAACCUUCAUCCUCAUGGAUGCUAGUUAGAUUCAUUAACUGCUGAGCCAUGAUGGGAACUUUGUCAUAUACUUCUUAAGUCUCUUCUCUUGACUCCAUGUAAGACAGCUUUGGAUUUUCUUGAACAAAUUUUGCACGUCAAGCACAGGAUAUUAGGAAAUAAAUCUGACUUCAUAAUACAGAAUAGAUUAGAAAGAAAGAGAAGUGAUCAUAGUUUAUAGGCAUUAAUUUAGAUCUGAAGGCAGAUGCUUUCCUAUGUUGUGACUGUGAUAUUUGUGACUUGGUUAAGUGCAGUGCUGUUGCAUAGGGUGGUGGAGGCAGGGACCUGGAAUAAGAUGAAGAUGGUUAGGUGGUACAGAACAGGACGGAAGAGAUGGGAGGAGACUGUCUGGCAGGAAGAAUGUGGUGUCCAUCUUAUACAACCCAGAAAGCACUGGAUAACAUGGACCAGAAAGCACCAAGGAAUGAAGAGGGAAGAGAACAGAUCCCCAAGGCACCCAGACGCCCCUGGGGGCAAGCAGGUAGAACAUAGCCAGGGAAAUUGGCUGGCUGGAUUGUGUUCUGCCUGAGAUUAGGAAAGAGAGACAUUACAUUUGGAGUAGUGGUGGUGUCUCCCUUGUGAAUUGAAUGCAAGAAUUCUCUUCAAAUUUCUUCCCCUUGCAAAUUCCUCCUUCACCCCCUACACGUGACCCAUUUUUAACCUUGAAGUAAGUGAUGGGUUCCAGGAAAUGUGUAACCAAGUUUCAGCACACCUCUUCUGUAAAUUUCCGUAAGGUCUAGCACCUCCUUUGUCACAUGGCAUUAUUCUCAUGUGGUGACUCCCCUGAAACCAUGAGCUUCAUGUUUUGAUAGAGCUGAUGUAUUACACAAAGUAGAGCUGGGAUAAAUGAAAUAGACAUAGUUCUGGUGGACCUUUUGUAAUUGGAGCUUAGCAGUGAAAGAAAUAGAUCUGUAGUCAGCUAAGUAGAGAUAAAGCAAAAGUUUAGUUUUAGGGUUGGUGAUUAUUUUGUAAAUAAGAUAUGCAGGCCUUCACAUAUUUGAAACAACCUAGGUGAAGCUAUAGAGAAAAAUUGUGUUUUAUUGUGGCAUCUGUUUUUAUUUUCUUUUUUGACUUCAAUUGUAUGCUUUUUAAUGAAAUAAAUAAGUAUUGGAUGUCUUGAGAGCUGUGUGAUUUCCUUUGAUAACUACUAAGACACCAGAGGUUUCAAUUGUUUUUGAUCUGCUUUGAUCUCCCUCAAGUACUUUUUUUCAGCAUUGUAAAUUUUCACAAUUUUUAUAUGAGAAUGAACAAGAAAAGUUAACACUGUCAUUGUACUUAAUUGAAGAAUAUGGCUGUGUGUACACAAUAAAAUCAUUUGCAGCCAUCAUCUUCAUCUUUUUCUCAAUAGAUUAUUAUUUAAUUUGCAUGUAUACAGCACAACUGUAGCAAGAACAAGCAAAUACUUUUUCUUUCCAAAAGAAAUAAUUAAAAAAUUUUAGAACAUUUCACAGUCUCAAAGUUUAGUGUCAAGGGAUUUCAAACAGCAUUUUUGCUUGAAACCUUAUCACUGUCUCUCUCUCUCUCUUUUUUUUGGACUUUUUGUCUUUUUAGGGCUGCACCUGUGGCGUAUGAAGGUUCCCAGGCUAGAAGUCCAAUCAGAGCUGUAGCUGCUGGCCUACGCCAGAGCCACAGCAAUGAAGGAUCCAAGCCUCAUUUGUGACCUACACCACAGCUCACGGCAACACCGGAUCCUUAACCCACUGAGCGAGGCCAGGGAUCAAACCUGUGUCUUAUGGAUGCCAGUCAGGUUCAUUAAUAGCUGAGCCACGACAGAAACUCCUCACUGUCUCUUAUAGGAAUAAGAGAAUGUUUAGUAACCAAACUCUAAAUAUACUAAACUCUAAACUUCUUGUUUGAAAAUAAAAACAUAAAACGCCCAAGUUGGCAAUCCUUAAUGGGUCCUUUCCAGGACUGUUUAGAAAACAAAAUAGCUAGGCUUUGUUUAGCUGGAUAAUUCAUCAAGGAUUUUUACUAAUAAUCAUGUACAGUAAUUUCAUGGGAGCACACUCAAUUUUGAUGCCAAAUCAAUAUAGCAUAAGUCAUGACGGUUUUCUGAAAUUUCAGCUUUCAAUCAGUAUUAGCCUUGUUUUAAAAUGAACAAAGAGGCAAAGAAAGGAGAAAGAUGUAAUGUUAAUAGACUUCCUUUUGUGAUCUCUCAGGGACAGGUCUUUUUAAAUACGGGGCUUGAACUUGACCUUCUUCAAUGGCACAGAGGUCCAAUGCAUGGUUUUUAAAGUUAUAUUUAAAUUUUAAUAAUUUUGCUCAUCGGAGGCAGUUAGAGUCAGACUCUCAAAACCUAAUCCUCAAUCUUUUAGUGUAACUGAUUAGCAAAGAAGGGAUGCUUAGGAAUAAAGCCUGGAAGAGGUACAUACAUAUUGUCGUGAUUUCUAUAUCUCAUACAAUCGAGCUGCUUUCAGAUCAUUAUCACUGUGGGUAUUUGAAAAUAUGACUUCAUAUAGAGUUAGUAUGGGAAAGUCUUUAAUUUCUUGAUAAAUCUAGUUGUAGGGAUCUCAUUAAAAACUAGAGGAAAAAAUUAUAUUCUCAGUAUUGGCAAAAUAGCGUGGAAAGAGGCACUAUCAUAUGCUGCUGGUGAGAGUGUAAAUUUUUAAAAUCUUUCUGGAAGGCAGUUUGGCCAUAUCUAUUGAAUGUCUCAGAAUUUUGCAUAAAACCUUUAAACCAGCAUUUUUACUUUGGGGGAUUCAUGCUAAGAAAAUAGUCAUCAAUGUUUGCAAAAUUAUAGCUACAAGAUUUUUAUGAAAGCAUUUUUGGUAGAAACAAGAACUGAAUGAAACAUAAAUAUUUAACAACAAGGCUUUAUUUAGCCCUUAAAAAUGAUACUAGAGAAAUAUUUACUGCCAGGGAAAAGGUGGGAAAAGCUGAUUAGAAACUGUAUGCAAAAUGUGAUUCCAUUUCG